ensembl:lncRNA
AGACUGCAGAUAAUUGUUUCUAAAUUCAGUUCUCCAGAAGGCAUUUAUAGAAAGAGCUUUGAGGAAAAUGUGAUUGUGUUCCUUUUAUUUCUCUCUAUUUUAGCCUUAUUAAAAGGAGAAACUAUGCAUCUGAAAAGAAAAACGUGAAGAGGAGACCCCGAUGCCAUUACUUUGGAGCGCUGAGAGGGUACAAGAAGACGAUGUUAAAGUAGAAUUUCUGUGAAGCUGCUUACAAUUGAAGGAAAACCUCUUUCUCCUGACCUCCUGUGAUUUGAACACGGUGUACAUCGCCUGAGUCUCACUGUUUCAGACAGGAUAAAGAGCCUGUCCCCUGAAUGAAGAUAGAUACAUGAAAAUAGAAAGACUGAUGAAGAUACACAGACGAAGAUAGAUGCCUUUACGGUUCUCAGACAGUACCAUGUUCAAGCACUACUGUGAUAGUCAAACUACAAAGCCUAUUCAAAUUAGAUAACUAUAUUUUUUUCAAUUACAUUGCUAAGAAAAGAGAGUUUAGAAGAAAUAGCUGAGCUUGGUAAGAUUAAGAAAAGGCUUUAUUAAUGACAGACUAUGCUACUGUAAACUUUAGGGUGAUUCUUGGACUCACUCUCGGUAUUGUUUAAAGGGGGUACUUAGGAUUUCCAAUGCUCUUCAACAGCAUUAGCAGUCACAAAGUUUAGUUUCAGUGACAGUGGUUGAAACACUUGAUCCACAAGGAUCUAGUGCUUCUUUUCAGGAGACUAUUUCAGUGGCCACCAUUUGUUAUUUGCCCAGUUUUGCAGCUUCAUCUGUUUGCUUCACAGUUACUGUGGAUUUCCGAUAUGAAGUUGGUAUAUGUCUAUUGCAUUGAGACUAUUUUAUUUAGUUUAGUUUAGUUUAGUUUAGUUUUUCUGAAGCGUACUCUUCUCGAAGUCAGUAAUGGCUUAGGAAGAAAAUGCAGGACAUAACUGUAGAUUGGAAAAGCAAAAUAACAUCUCCUUUGUCCAUUAAAUUCCUAAUUAAG